GUAGGUGGCGAGCGUUGUCCGGAUUUACUGGGCGUAAAGAGCNCGCAGGCGGUCGUGCAAGUCGCGUGUGAAAGCCCCCGGCUCAACUGGGGAGGGUCACGCGAUNCUGCUCGACUCGAAGGCAGGAGGGGGAAGUGGAAUUCCCGGUGUAGUGGUGAAAUGCGUAGAUAUCGGGAGGAACACCAGUGGCGAAGGCGACUUCCUGGCCUGUUCUUGACGCUGAGGCGCGAAAGCUAGGGUAGCAAACGGGAUUAGAUACCCCGGUAGUCCUAGCCGUAAACGAUGGACACUAGGUGUUGGUGGUAUCAACCCCGCCAGUGCCGAAGCUAACGCAUUAAGUGUCCCGCCUGGGGAGUACGGCCGCAAGGCUA
rnacentral:rRNA from 1 species